UGGGUUUUGGUCAAAGUAUUUUUCAUGUUUGAUAGUAUGGUGGAAUUGGAAUAAUUACCAAUAUUGUUGUUUCGUUAUGUAUGAUCCUAUAAUGAGAAUAAAGGUUUUAAACAUACAA